rnacentral:misc_RNA from 1 species
AUUCAUAUUUUUCACCAGCACAUAAUCUAUCCAUUCUUAGGUGCAGAUUUCAUUCCAAUCUGGGUUUUGCAAUUCAGUCAGAAGGGUAUUCAAGAUGGUAGUGAUGAAGGUCAAGUCAAUGGGUUUUAUAUGAGGUGUGUGGAGCUAGCAAGGAAGGCAAUUGGGUAUACAAGCCCUAAUCCUAUAGUGGGCUGUGUCAUUGUCAAGAAUGGCAAGAUUGUUGGUGAAGGGU